GAUGAACGCUGGCGGCGUGCCUAAUACAUGCAAGUCGAGCGAACAGACGAGGAGCUUGCUUCUCUGACGUUAGCGGCGGACGGGUGAGUAACACGUGGAUAACCUACCUAUAAGACUGGGAUAACUUCGGGAAACCGGAGCUAAUACCGGAUAAUAUAUUGAACCGCAUGGUUCAAUAGUGAAAGACGGUUUUGCUGUCACUUAUAGAUGGAUCCGCGCUGCAUUAGCUAGUUGGUAAGGUAACGGCUUACCAAGGCAACGAUGCAUAGCCGACCUGAGAGGGUGAUCGGCCACACUGGAACUGAGACACGGUCCAGACUCCUACGGGAGGCAGCAGUAGGUAAUCUUCCGCAAUGGGCGAAAGCCUGACGGAGCAACGCCGCGUGAGUGAUGAAGGUCUUCGGAUCGUAAAACUCUGUUAUUAGGGAAGAACAAAUGUGUAAGUAACUGUGCACAUCUUGACGGUACCUAAUCAGAAAGCCACGGCUAACUACGUG
rnacentral:rRNA from 1 species